ensembl:lncRNA
CUCACGGCUUUAGUCAGCGGGUGUGACUCCGGUUCGUGCUGUAGCCCCCCCCACCCCCGGGGGGGGGAGUUGAAGCCCAGCCCUAAAAGCUUCCAGGAGGGGCCGGAGCUGUGGCCCUGCGGGUUAGGCCAAGGCCUGCGGCGCGGCACCCUCGCUUCCUUUCCUUUUCCGGUCUUUCACGAAGUCGGCUCCCCUGCGCCCUCCUCCCGCAGUCCUGCCGGGGGCGCCCCGCGUCCAGCGCUAGCCGCGGUUAAUCCUCCGGUUCUCGUUCCUUGCUCUGCCUGGAGCUUAGUCUCCUCCGAGGUCAGGAGGCCAUCAUGCGUCUCUGCUCCCUCGCGGUGUGAGCGUGCACGCUGCAGGCCUGAGCCUCCCCGCACAGCCCUGCCGCAUCCUGUCUCCCGCGCUGCAUUUCUGCGUUCACUCCGCGGGUUUCCCUGGGCCCGUGAGCGACGCAGCCUCGUGAACGCGCGUCUCCCGGGAGACACACGCAGGAAAGCGCCUACCCCGCGCUCUCAGCUCACGGGGCUCCCUCCCGCAGGGCCCCGUGCAGGGCGCGGGGAGGUGGGCUCUGAGAGCACUGGGGCGCCGGCACCAUUUCUCCUUUUGCACCGUUUUCAUCCAUUAAGGACAGGUCCCGUGCCGCGCGCCGCCCCCGCCUCCGCCCGCCCUGCCAUCUGGAACCCCGUGCUCCCGCGCAGCCGCGCUGUGCCUGCGCCGAGGGGCUUUCCACGUCGGAGUCCUGCUGGGCUCAGCUUCCUGCGGCGAAGGGGCUGCGCCCAGCACGCGUCAAGCAUCACACAUCACUCAUCACACCCGUCACGCCCGUCUGUCCUUUGGGGUGGGCAGAACACCAGCGGGAGCCGGUGGGUGCUUUGGGGCAGCCUGGACCCAGGCCCCCGGCUGGGUCGGGCACCGCUGUCCACUCUCCCAACGCCCGGUCUUGGGAAACCCCGCAGGGUAGGGGGCACUCCCCCAGCCCGGCCCCUCACUUAUGGCCCCGGUGCCUCAGGCGCACAUCUACUCCCUGGCGGCCACGCUGAAGGCGGCCCUGGAGUACGCGGUGGAGCCGGAGCCGGAGCCCAGGCUGAGCACGGAGCUGGAGACGCUGCUGAGCCAGAUGCAGGCGGAGGAGCCCGCAGACAGACCCCGCCUGGAGAGCGUCAUCGCGCUGUGCCGGGAGAAGACGCGGCCCACGUCCUCUUGCCACGUGUGCGGAGCCUCUCCGCCGUCGGCAGCCGCGUGCUCUCCAUCGAGUCCUUUGGCGCCUUUCAGGGUAAGAGAGCGCCCCCCCCCCACGCACACACAUCUGCCCACGCACGUACAUGCAACCACACGCCCACACAGCCACCUACACACAAUCCCAGGCACACUCAUACUUACUAAACCCCCACGCCCCCUGGACUCACACACAUGGGUAUUCAAACAGAUCACAUAGGAAGGGUACUUCAAAAAGUUCACGGAAAACAGCAUUGAAGAUGAUGUCAUUUUGGUGCAAAAACCGGUUUUUGAAAUCCGUACAUACCAGGUCUUCAAGAAGCUCAUGAAAACGCAUUUUUGCAAAAACCUAGCAGAGACUUCAAAGCAUGCCAGGCCGGCACUGGGCACCUUGGGGACAGGUGCAGGUGCAGGCGCAGGCACAGCGCCACUCAGUUAGCUCAUCCCCUCUGCCAGCGCCACUGCAUGCCGGCAGGUGCAUUCCCUUCUGCACGCUCAAAGCUGUGGGGUUUCCACAGCUCACGGGGACUCCGCCUGUCUGAGCUCAGAGCCAGCAAGGGCCAGUAGGGUCCCGUCUCAGGGACAGCGCUCACUUGGGAGAAGGUUUCACCUGGUUCUCGUUCUCCCUCAGGAACCACUUGAGACUUUGACCAGCCCUCGGAUGAGAAACCGGGUGUCCACGGGACGUGUGUGGUGUUGUGCGGAGCGGGCGGGGGAGCCCUGGUGGAGGCUGGGGUGGGUGCCAUGCUGGCGGCUCCAUGUCGCUGUCUCUGCUGUGAACGCCUCUAGCUUUGUGUCCAGAUUUGAGUGACAGCACCUGGAGGGCGAUGCCUGCACCGAGAAGUGUGGGGCCCAGAAGGCCCCCAGGG